rnacentral:rRNA from 1 species
GACGAACGCUGGCGGCGUGCUUAACACAUGCAAGUCGAACGGAAAGGCCCUGCUUUUGUGGGGUGCUCGAGUGGCGAACGGGUGAGUAACACGUGAGUAACCUGCCCUUGACUUUGGGAUAACUUCAGGAAACUGGGGCUAAUACCGGAUAUGAGCUCCUGCUGCAUGGUGGGGGUUGGAAAGUUUCGGCGGUUGGGGAUGGACUCGCGGCUUAUCAGCUUGUUGGUGGGGUAGUGGCUUACCAAGGCUUUGACGGGUAGCCGGCCUGAGAGGGUGACCGGCCACAUGGGGACUGAGAUACGGACCAGAAUCCUACGGGAGGCAGCAGUGGGGAAUAUUGCACAAUGGGCGGAAGCCUGAUGCAGCAACGCCGCGUGCGGGAUGACGGCCUUCGGGUUGUAAACCGCUUUCGACUGUGACGAAGCGUGAGUGACGGUAAUGGGUAAAGAAGCACCGGCUAACUACGUG